rnacentral:rRNA from 1 species
AUUGAACGCUGGCGGCAGGCUUAACACAUGCAAGUCGAGCGGGGAAAGGUAGCUUGCUACCUGACCUAGCGGCGGACGGGUGAGUAAUGCUUAGGAAUCUGCCUAUUAGUGGGGGACAACAUUCCGAAAGGAAUGCUAAUACCGCAUACGCCCUACGGGGGAAAGGAGGGGAUCUUCGGAACUUGCGCUAAUAGAUGAGCCUAAGUCAGAUUAGCUAGUUGGUGGGGUAAAGGCCUACCAAGGCGACGAUCUGUAGCGGGUCUGAGAGGAUGAUCCGCCACACUGGGACUGAGACACGGCCCAGACUCCUACGGGAGGCAGCAGUGGGGAAUAUUGGACAAUGGGCGAAAGCCUGAUCCAGCCAUGCCGCGUGUGUGAAGAAGGCCUUUUGGUUGUAAAGCACUUUAAGCGAGGAGGAGGCUACUUGGAUUAAUACUCUAGGAUAGUGGACGUUACUCGCAGAAUAAGCACCGGCUAACUCUGUGCCAGCCGCCGCGGUAA